UCUGCAGAAGAAGGGAGAACGCCGUUCCCAUCCUCGAUCGCUUCAUCUUCGAGACCUUCGCCCAUUCAACUCCGUCUCGGAUAGAGGAAAUGAGGGCGUCAAUGCUUCGCAAUGGUGCAUACUGGAAGGAAGACGUGCAUAUCGUGCGUAGAGGCGAUAACUGCUAGCACACACGCACGAAGUGGCCCAAUGUCUGCGGCGCUGCUGAUGCAAAGGAGGCUAGGGUUUUUUUUUUCACAUGUGCUGUUAAGGGCUACAUUGUAGUUGGGCUAGGGUUUGGGCCUAGUGUAUUGGGCCAAGGGUAUUUGGGCUAAUGUAAUUGGGCCUCGUAAAUUAGGUUUUUAAAUGGACUGGACACUUUUAUUUAUUUGUGCCUGGGCUAAAAUUGGGUAUUACAAAGGUUAUGUUCAUUAUUUUGGAAUUAGAAAAGUCGUAUUCUUAACUUACGAAAUAUGACUUCCUUCUAAAGCCGAGAUAAUCAAAUAUUUACUUUAAAAUAAAAAAAAUGAGAUUUAAGUGAUGAUCAAA